GUCGGAUGUCAGGCGAUCCCUUCUGAGCUGUCUUCUCCCCUUCCUGCCCCAUCGCAGGACUCAGGGCUCUACCUGAAGGAACUGAUCGAGCCGGUGCUGACCUGCUUCAACGACGCGGACAGCAGGCUGCGCUACUAUGCCUGCGAGGCUCUCUACAACAUCGUCAAGGUGGCCCGAGGCGCCGUGCUGCCCCACUUCAACGUGCUCUUUGACGGGCUGAGCAAGCUGGCUGCUGACCCAGACCCCAAUGUGAAAAGCGGAUCCGAGCUCCUAGACCGCCUUUUAAAGGACAUCGUGACUGAGAGCAGCAAGUUUGACCUGGUGGGCUUCAUCCCCCUGUUGCGGGAGAGGAUCUACUCCAACAACCAGUACGCCCGACAGUUCAUCAUC